rnacentral:misc_RNA from 1 species
UCCGGCUUGUCACCGGCGGUCUCGUCAGAGUGCCCAGCAUAACCUGAUGGCAACAGACGACAAGGGUUGCGCUCGUUGCGGGACUUAACCCAACAUCUCACGACACGAGCUGACGACAGCCAUGCAGCACCUGUCACCGAUCCAGCCGAACUGAAGAGGUCCAUCUCUGGUCCUCGCGAUCGGGAUGUCAAGGGUAGGUAAGGUUCUUCGCGUUGCUUCGAAUUAAACAACAUGCUCCACCGCUUGUGCGGGUCCCCGUCAAUUCCUUUGAGUUUUAACCUUGCGGCCGUACUCCCCAGGCGGUGUGCUUAAUGAUUUCUCUCCGCCGCCGAAAGUCUAAGACUCCCGACAGCUAGCACACAUAGUUUACGGCGUGGACUAC